rnacentral:lncRNA from 1 species
CAGCACUGUGUGCCGGGAAAAGGUGCCCACAGGGGCCCUUCAUGGCUGAGGCUUCCAGAGGGUAGUGGGACAGCAACCCCGCUCCCCACCCGCUGCCCACCACAGCGUUCAUGAUACAGCUUCGGAGUGUGGGUCGGGGUCUAUCUGGGAAACCAGGGCAAAGGCGGUGGCAGCUGGCAGCACCCACACCCACAGCUGGGGCACUGCUCACAUGAGCCCCCAUCAGCAGGCCCCUUGGUUGUGCCACAGGCAGGGGUCCUGCCCCAGGGAGGGGGUAGUUCGGGGGGGGCUCGAGGGUGUGGCACAGGCCAGCUGUCACUCCUCCCUGGAGAGGCAGCUGGGGACGCAGCUGGGAGGGGAGCCAGGAGCAGAGACAGCCCGGGGCCAGCAGGUGGGUGACAGGUGGGGCAGCGGGAGGGGCACGCGCCAUCCGCCUGGGGCUGGGGUGUAGAGACGGGAACCUGCCCCCCAAUGCCUGGUGCUGGCCCAGCCUCCCCCCGGGGCCUGUAGCACCUUCCCAGUUGUGUCAAUAUGUCUGCUAGAUAUCAAAAUGAGUGCAUGGGAUUUGAUAUAUGUACAUAGGUAGGCAUAGAAAUAGAGAUGCUCAAGGAUAUGUGUAUAUGCACAUAUGAAUAUGUGUGCAUGUAUAUACAUGUAUCCAUUUCCCAACUCUGUCUUUUAAGAGGAUAUAGAAACAAUAUCACCCCAGUAACAAUAAACACCCUAGUUCCCACAUCUUGAUUUCUCCAUACUGCGUGUGUGUGCAUGCUUGUCAAUGUCUGUGUGGUUAUGCAGAUCCAUG